GAUCUCCUUUACACAUCUGUGUUGUGUCUGUGCACGAGCGUUUUCUUAUCCCAAGAUGCUCUAUGAGUCCCUUCCAGGUUACUCAAAAGUCAAGAAUCGGUAAGUAUGCAAACAUUACAGCUCUGCCGCUUUGCAGAUUUCUAGUGCUUAUCUAUUUUUUUCCUGAUAGAAAGGGUGGUUGGUGUUACCUGGACGAGAAGGGCAGUGCACUGAGCCUUAGAGAGGCUCAUGCAUGUCAGACCAGAGAGACGGAAGCUUGGACAGGCAGAGGGCACUGGGCUGAGAUGGGGCAGGAGUGCACCACAGCUGGACAGACCCGUGCAUGCAGGGGCAGAAUCCUUGCCUGCAGGGGUCUCCAUGUACGGUUAUUUGUCAUGAACUAGCAAACUCAGCGAUGUAACAGGGAUGGACAGG
rnacentral:lncRNA from 1 species